rnacentral:rRNA from 1 species
UACGUAGGUGGCAAGCGUUGUCCGGAAUUAUUGGGCGUAAAGCGCGCGCAGGUGGUUCCUUAAGUCUGAUGUGAAAGCCCACGGCUCAACCGUGGAGGGUCAUUGGAAACUGGGGAACUUGAGUGCAGAAGAGGAAAGUGGAAUUCCAAGUGUAGCGGUGAAAUGCGUAGAGAUUUGGAAGGAACACCAGUGGCGAAGGCGACUUUCUGGUCUGUAACUGACACUGAGGCGCGAAAGCGUGGGGAGCAAACAGG